rnacentral:rRNA from 1 species
UACAGAGGGGGCAAGCGUUGUUCGGAUUUACUGGGCGUAAAGGGCGCGUAGGCGGCAAUUCAAGUCACUUGUGAAAUCUCCGAGCUUAACUCGGAACGGUCAAGUGAUACUGCUUUGCUAGAGUGCAGAAGGGGCAACCGGAAUUCUUGGUAUAGCGGUGAAAUGCGUAGAUAAUCAAGAGGAACACCGGAGGUGAAGACGGGGAUUGCGUGGGGCUGACACUGACGCUGAGGCGCGAAAGCUAGGGUAGCAAACGGG